AGUCGAGCGGUAACAUUUCUAGCUUGCUAGAAGAUGACGAGCGGCGGACGGGUGAGUAACGCGUAGGAAUCUGCCUAGUAGAGGGGGACAACAUGUGGAAACGCAUGCUAAUACCGCAUACGCCCUUAGGGGGAAAGGAGGGGAUCUUAGGACCUUCCGCUAUUAGAUGAGCCUGCGUAAGAUUAGCUAGUUGGUGGGGUAAAGGCCUACCAAGGCGACGAUCUUUAACUGGUCUGAGAGGAUGACCAGUCACACUGGGACUGAGACACGGCCCAGACUCCUACGGGAGGCAGCAGUGGGGAAUAUUGGACAAUGGGCGAAAGCCUGAUCCAGCCAUGCCGCGUGUGUGAAGAAGGCCUUAGGGUUGUAAAGCACUUUCAGUGGGGAGG
rnacentral:rRNA from 1 species